GUUCAGAGAAGCAAUAAGGUGUUGCACACAGUUGCACAUGCAGGGCUAUGUUCCACAGAAGAAGAAAAAGUCUUGCAGGUUUGGAACGACAGGAAGCUCAUUCCUUUUCCAAUCAAUCACCUGAAGCAGAAAGAUUAAAAGUGGGGGAGAGGAACUCCGGGCUGCAGGUCGCUCUGGAGAGGCAGCGGUGCAAGGCAAUCUGAACCGUCUUCCUCCUGCAGAACAAUAACAGCAGAUCUGGAACAGACUCAUCAUCAAGAGUUUUUCCACUUUAUAACUAUACAGUGUAAUCCACUCGCCAUAUGGGAUAUUGCUAGGUCAGUACUUUGAUGUGAAGUUUAUGUAUGAGUAUUUGUGGGAAUUCUGAUUGUUUUUCAACUUCUGCGGAUGACAUUCAUUUUCUGUAAUACUGAGAUGGUUUGAAACUUUU